rnacentral:sRNA from 1 species
UUUUAAAUCUUUUCGGUGCUUGUAAUGACAUGGUCUUUAAAUCUUUAU